GGGGGUGUAGCUCAGUUGGAUAGAGCAACGGCCUUCUAAGCCGUCGGUCUUGGGUUCGAAUCCCAACACUCCCGCCA
rnacentral:tRNA from 3 species